UACGUAGGGUGCAAGCGUUGUCCGGAAUUAUUGGGCGUAAAGAGCUCGUAGGCGGUCUGUCGCGUCGGGUGUGAAAAUCCAGGGCUUAACCCUGGACCUGCAUUCGAUACGGGCAGACUAGAGUUCGGUAGGGGAGACUGGAAUUCCUGGUGUAGCGGUGAAAUGCGCAGAUAUCAGGAGGAACACCGGUGGCGAAGGCGGGUCUCUGGGCCGAUAUCGACGCUGAGGAGCGAAAGCGUGGGGAGCGAACAGG
rnacentral:rRNA from 1 species